GACGAACGCCGGCGGCGUGCUUAACACAUGCAAGUCGAACGGAAAGGCCCUGCUUUUGUGGGGUGCUCGAGUGGCGAACGAGUGAGUAACACGUGAGUAACCUGCCCUUGACUUUGGGAUAACUUCAGGAAACUGGGGCUAAUACCGGAUAGGAGCUCCUACUGCAUGGUGGGGGUUGGAAAGUUUCGGCGGUUGGGGAUGGACUCGCGGCUUAUCAGCUUGUUGGUGGGGUAGUGGCUUACCAAGGCUUUGACGGGUAGCCGGCCUGAGAGGGUGACCGGCCACAUUGGGACUGAGAUACGGCCCAGACUCCUACGGGGGGCAGCAGUGGGGAAUAUUGCACAAUGGGCGGAAGCCUGAUGCAGCAACGCCGCGUGCGGGAUGACGGCCUUCGGGUUGUAAACCGCUUUCGCCUGUGACGAAGCGUGAGUGACGGUAAUGGGUAAAGAAGCACCGGCUAACUACGUGCCAGCAGCCGCGGUGAUACGUAGGGUGCGAGCGUUGUCCGGAUUUAUUGGGCGUAAAGGGCUCGUAGGUGGUUGAUCGCGUCGGAAGUGUAAUCUUGGGGCUUAACCCUGAGCGUGCUUUCGAUACGGGUUGACUUGAGGAAGGUAGGGGAGAAUGGAAUUCCUGGUGGAGCGGUGGAAUGCGCAGAUAUCAGGAGGAACACCAGUGGCGAAGGCGGUUUCUCUGGGCCUUUCCUGACGCUGAGGAGCGAAAGCGUGGGGAGCGAACAGGCUUAGAUACCCUGGUAGUCCACGCUGUAAACGGUGGGUACUAGGUGUGGGGUCCAUUCCACGGGUUCCGUGCCGUAGCUAACGCUUUAAGUACCCCGCCUGGGGAGUACGGCCGCAAGGCUAAAACUCAAAGGAAUUGACGGGGCCCCGCACAAGCGGCGGAGCAUGCGGAUUAAUUCGACGCAACGCGUAGAACCUUACCUGGGUUUGACAUGGAUCGGGAGUGCUCAGAGAUGGGUGUGCCUCUUUUGGGGUCGGUUCACAGGUGGUGCAUGGCUGUCGUCAGCUCGUGUCGUGAGAUGUUGGGUUAAGUCCCGCAACGAGCGCAACCCUUGUUCACUGUUGCCAGCACGUUAUGGUGGGGACUCAGUGGAGACCGCCGGGGUCAACUCGGAGGAAGGUGGGGAUGACGUCAAGUCAUCAUGCCCCUUAUGUCCAGGGCUUCACGCAUGCUACAAUGGCUGGUACAGAGAGUGGCGAGCCUGUGAGGGUGAGCGAAUCUCGGAAAGCCGGUCUCAGUUCGGAUUGGGGUCUGCAACUCGACCUCAUGAAGUCGGAGUCGCUAGUAAUCGCAGAUCAGCAACGCUGCGGUGAAUACGUUCCCGGGGCU
rnacentral:rRNA from 1 species